rnacentral:miRNA from 1 species
UUACAGGAGAAGAAUGUAUGGC